UGCCAGCCGCCGCGGUAACACGGGGGGCGCAAGCGUUAUUCGGAAUUAUUGGGCGUAAAGGGCGCGCAGGCGGUCUGCUAAGUCGGACGUGAAAGCCCCGGGCUUAACCUGGGAAUUGCAUUCGAUACUGGUAGACUUGAAUUUGGUAGAGGAAAGUGGAAUUCCGGGUGUAGCGGUGAAAUGCGUAGAUAUCCGGAGGAACAUCAGUGGCGAAGGCGGCUAACUGGCUCGGUACUGACGCUGAGAUGCGAAAGCGUGGGGAGCAAACAGGAUUAGAUA
rnacentral:rRNA from 1 species